GUAAAGUGAUACCGGCUUAUCCACAGGCAACAGAUCGUAAGCGACUGGAGGUGAUCGGCACACCUGGACUGAGAAACCGUCCCGAUCUACGGAGGCAGCAGUAGGGAUCUCGGCAUAGGCGAAGCCUGACGAGCAAACGCCGCGUGAGUGAUGAAAGUCUCGGAUCGUAAAACUCUGUUAUCAUGGGAAGAAACAAAAUGUGUAAGUAACUGUGCACAUCUUGACGGUACCUGAUCAGAAAGCCACGGCUAACUACGUGCCAGCAGCCGCGGUAAUACGUAGGUGGCAAGCGUUAUCUGGAAUUAUUGGGCGUAAAGCGCGCGUAGGCGGUUUUUUAAGUCUGAUGUGAAAGCCCACGGCUCAACCGUGGAGGGUCAUUGGAAACUGGAAAACUUGAGUGCAGAAGAGGAAAGUGGAAUUCCAUGUGUAGCGGUGAAAUGCGCAGAGAUAUGGAGGAACACCAGUGGCGAAGGCGACUUUCUGGUCUGUAACUGACGCUGAUGUGCGAAAGCGUGGGGAUCAAACAGGAUUAGAUACCCUGGUAGUCCACGCCGUAAACGAUGAGUGCUAAGUGUUAGGGGGUUUCCGCCCCUUAGUGCUGCAGCUAACGCAUUAAGCACUCCGCCUGGGGAGUACGACCGCAAGGUUGAAACUCAAAGGAAUUGACGGGGACCCGCACAAGCGGUGGAGCAUGUGGUUUAAUUCGAAGCAACGCGAAGAACCUUACCAAAUCUUGACAUCCUUUGACCGCUCUAGAGAUAGAGUCUUCCCCUUCGGGGGACAAAGUGACAGGUGGUGCAUGGUUGUCGUCAGCUCGUGUCGUGAGAUGUUGGGUUAAGUCCCGCAACGAGCGCAACCCUUAAGCUUAGUUGCCAUCAUUAAGUUGGGCACUCUAAGUUGACUGCCGGUGACAAACCGGAGGAAGGUGGGGAUGACGUCAAAUCAUCAUGCCCCUUAUGAUUUGGGCUACACACGUGCUACAAUGGACAAUACAAAGGGCAGCUAAACCGCGAGGUCAAGCAAAUCCCAUAAAGUUGUUCUCAGUUCGGAUUGUAGUCUGCAACUCGACUACAUGAAGCUGGAAUCGCUAGUAAUCGUAGAUCAGCAUGCUACGGUGAAUACGUUCCCGGGUCUUGUACACACCGCCCGUCACACCACGAGAGUUUGUAACACCCGAAGCCGGUGGAGUAACCAUUUAUGGAGCUAGCCGUCGAAGGUGGGACAAAUGAUUGGGGUGAAGUCGUAACAAAGAGCAACCGGAGUGGCGGCUGCACUCACCUCUCUUAAC
rnacentral:rRNA from 1 species